rnacentral:rRNA from 3 species
UAAUUGAAGAGUUUGAUCAUGGCUCAGAUUGAACGCUGGCGGCAGGCCUAACACAUGCAAGUCGA